rnacentral:rRNA from 1 species
UACAGAGGGUGCGAGCGUUGUCCGGAUUUACUGGGCGUAAAGAGCGCGCAGGCGGUCGUGCAAGUCGCGUGUGAAAGCCCCCGGCUCAACUGGGGAGGGUCACGCGAUACUGCUCGACUCGAAGGCAGGAGAGGGAAGUGGAAUUCCCGGUGUAGUGGUGAAAUGCGUAGAUAUCGUGAGGAACACCAGAGGCGAAGGCGGCUACCUGGACAAUUGCUGACGCUCAGGCACGAAAGCGUGGGGAGCAAAAGGG